AGUGAACGCUGGCGGUAGGCCUAACACAUGCAAGUCGAACGGCAGCACAGUAAGAGCUUGCUCUUACGGGUGGCGAGUGGCGGACGAGUGAGGAAUACAUCGGAAUCUACUUUUUCGUGGGGGAUAACGUAGGGAAACUUACGCUAAUACCGCAUACGACCUACGGGUGAAAGCAGGGGAUCUUCGGACCUUGCGCUAUUGAAUGAGCCGAUGUCGGAUUAGCUAGUUGGCGGGGUAAAGGCCCACCAAGGCGACGAUCCGUAGCUGGUCUGAGAGGAUGAUCAGCCACACUGGAACUGAGACACGGUCCAGACUCCUACGGGAGGCAGCAGUGGGGAAUAUUGGACAAUGGGCGCAAGCCUGAUCCAGCCAUACCGCGUGGGUGAAGAAGGCCUUCGGGUUGUAAAGCCCUUUUGUUGGGAAAGAAAAGCAGCAGGUUAAUACCCCGCUGUUCUGACGGUACCCAAAGAAUAAGCACCGGCUAACUUCGUG
rnacentral:rRNA from 1 species